AUUGAACGCUGGCGGCAGGCCUAACACAUGCAAGUCGAACGGUAACAGGAAGAAGCUUGCUUCUUUGCUGACGAGUGGCGGACGGGUGAGUAAUGUCUGGGAAACUGCCUGAUGGAGGGGGAUAACUACUGGAAACGGUAGCUAAUACCGCAUAACGUCGCAAGACCAAAAAGGGGGACCUUCGGGCCUCUUGCCAUCGGAUGUGCCCAGAUGGGAUUAGCUAGUAGGUGGGGUAACGGCUCACCUAGGCGACGAUCCCUAGCUGGUCUGAGAGGAUGACCAGCCACACUGGAACUGAGACACGGUCCAGACUCCUACGGGAGGCAGCAGUGGGGAAUAUUGCACAAUGGGCGCAAGCCUGAUGCAGCCAUGCCGCGUGUAUGAAGAAGGCCUUCGGGUUGUAAAGUACUUUCAGCGGGGAGGAAGGGAGUAAAGUUAAUACCUGUGCUCAUUGACGUUACCCGCAGAAGAAGCACCGGCUAACUCCGU
rnacentral:rRNA from 1 species